CAUAUCUUCUUCUUCUUUUUUUAAUGGCAGUUGACAAACAGUUUUUAGGUGCAUUAGCGCCACCUUCUGAAAGGGAGUGUAACUGUUGAUAUCUGAACUGCGCGACAAACCAAAUGCACCCCUCCCUUCUGUGUUCCUUCAGAAGCUCCGCCCUCUAAACUCUUACGUGCAUUGCCAUGGAAACCGACUUAACUUGACCGAGGUGGAAAAUGGCAGAAUCGACCAUGGAGGCCAGGAUGACAGCUGCUGAGAGCUUGGCAGAAGAACUGCAGAUGGAGAAUGACGCUCAAACUACAGAACUUGCAGUCACUCAGCAGUAGCUCAGCACUCUGCAGCAAAGGUUGAUGGCCAGUGAACGCCACAUGGAGGAACUGGACAAACACCU